rnacentral:rRNA from 1 species
GAGAGGCCCAAACGUUAUUCGGAUUUACUGGGCUUAAAGAGUUCGUAGGCGGUGCAGAAAGUGGGGUGUGAAAGCCCUCGGCUCAACCGAGGAAUUGCGCUCCAAACUACUGUACUAGAGGAAGCUAGAGGUGAGCAGAACUGAUGGUGGAGCGGUGAAAUGCGUUGAUAUCAUCAGGAAUACCGGAGGCGAAGGCGGCUCACUGGGGCUUUUCUGACGCUGAGGAACGAAAGCCAGGGUAGCGAACGGGAUUAGAUACCCCGGUAGUCCUGGCCGUAAACGAUGAGCACUGGGCCGGAGGACUGCACAGUUUUCCGGCCGUAGCGAAAGUGUUAAGUGCUCCGCCUGGGGAGUAUGGUCGCAAGGCUG